rnacentral:rRNA from 1 species
ACACAUGCAGUCGAACGAUGAUNCUCCACUUGUGGGNGGAUUAGUGGCGAACGGGUGAGUAACACGUGAGUAACCUGCCCUUGACUCUGGGAUAAGCCUGGGAAACUGGGUCUAAUACCGGAUAUGACUGACUAUCGCAUGGUGGUUGGUGGAAAGCUUUUGUGGUUUUGGAUGGACUCGCGGCCUAUCAGCUUGUUGGUGGGGUAAUGGCCUACCAAGGCGACGACGGGUAGCCGGCCUGAGAGGGUGACCGGCCACACUGGGACUGAGACACGGCCCAGACUCCUACGGGAGGCAGCAGUGGGGAAUAUUGCACAAUGGGCGGAAGCCUGAUGCAGCGACGCCGCGUGAGGGAUGACGGCCUUCGGGUUGUAAACCUCUUUCAGUAGGGAAGAAGCGUAAGUGACGGUACCUGCAGAAGAAGCGCCGGCUAACUACGUGCCAGCAGCCGCGGUAAUACGUAGGGCGCAAGCGUUAUCCGGAAUUAUUGGGCGUAAAGAGCUCGUAGGCGGUUUGUCGCGUCUGCCGUGAAAGUCCGGGGCUCAACUCCGGAUCUGCGGUGGGUACGGGCAGACUAGAGUGAUGUAGGGGAGACUGGAAUUCCUGGUGUAGCGGUGAAAUGCGC